rnacentral:misc_RNA from 1 species
AUAAAGGCUUAGUUGAGUUGAGUACAACAGGUAAAAUUCUCUGAUUUUUGAGUUGCAAUAUAGAGUCAGCUUUGAUAUCAAUCGAAAGGUGCUCAAGGAGAACUUUCCCCAAAGCUAGUUGUUCACAAAGAGAGCUCCCUGCCUUCUCUACCCAAAUCAAGCGCAACACCCACACCCCACUGCCGCGCGCCCAAGUAGAGCACAUUAUUUUUGCCACUACAAUUAUUAUGUAGACAUUGUAAUUUUUAUAUUAUGUUUUGAACAACUUUUGUUAUAUCUCAAUUAUCAUAAAUAUGAUCUAAUUUCUAUAUAUUAUUCAUCAAAUAUUUUUAUUAUUUGUAUUUAUAUAUUUUUAGACUUGAAAACUUGGAAUUAUACAUUCAAAUAUGAAAUUUAUAUAUAAAUAUAUAUGUGUAUGUGUGUAUAA